rnacentral:rRNA from 1 species
AGAGUUUGAUCCUGGCUCAGAUUGAACGCUGGCGGCAUGCCUUACACAUGCAAGUCGAACGGUAACAGGUCUUCGGAUGCUGACGAGUGGCGAACGGGUGAGUAAUACAUCGGAACGUGCCCAGUAAUGGGGGAUAGCUCGGCGAAAGCCGGAUUAAUACCGCAUACGCCCUGAGGGGGAAAGUGGGGGACCGCAAGGCCUCACGUUAUUGGAGCGGCCGAUGGCUGAUUAGCUAGUUGGUAGGGUAAAGGCCUACCAAGGCGACGAUCAGUAGCUGGUCUGAGAGGACGAUCAGCCACACUGGGACUGAGACACGGCCCAGACUCCUACGGGAGGCAGCAGUGGGGAAUUUUGGACAAUGGGGGAAACCCUGAUCCAGCAAUGCCGCGUGUGCGAAGAAGGCCUUCGGGUUGUAAAGCACUUUUGUCAGGGAAGAAAUCCUUUGGGCUAAUACCCUAGGGGGAUGACGGUACCUGAAGAAUA